rnacentral:snoRNA from 1 species
UUAGUAGUACUACUAGUACUACUAGUACUACUAUUAGUAGUACUACUAGUACUACUACUAGUAGUAUGUAUGUACUACUAGUACUAGUAAUACUACUAGUACUAGUACUAGUAAUACUACUAGUAAUA